UUCUGUAGCUUAACCGACUAGGUUCAGUCAUCAUCUGGAAUGCCUCCGGGGGGCCAGGUGGGCCUAGGGGUUGAAGUCACCUGUGCCCAGAGAUACACUCCUUAGUUGCCGGAGUGGGGCUUUCAAAUCCAUAUGUCUCUCUUUUACAGGCCCUAUUUGCUGGCAAACGUAUGAGGCUAUCCUUCCUGUAAGAAGAGGAGUCUCCAUAGGGAAUGGCGAGGGCUAAACGUGGAAAUGCAAAGAUGUUAAUGGAAUCAAAACGACUUUCUGAUUUCAAGUCUGACUACAAAACUAGACCAAUCACGAAGACGUAGUUUUGUCACUGGGAUAGACAAAUAAACCAAUAGAAUAGAAUGGAGAGUUCCAGAAAUGAAUCCAAAUGUAUACGUCAGAAGAAGAAGAAGAAGAAUAUUUUCCAAAGUCUAUUCAAAUGUUAAACCAGCACAGUAAAUUAGGGCAACAAACUAAAUUAUCUUGGAGCAAGAGACUUUAUAUUUAAUUCUACUUCAAGUUUUGACCUCGAGAGAAAUCAUGCACUCCAGUUUCCUCAAGGAUAUGGUUGUAAGUAUCUUGGCAGUUACAUGUCAGGAUAUUUUUGUGUUUAAUAACGGUCAACCUUAGUACAAGGAGAAUGCCACGUGAAAAAUCGAUUUUUACAGUGGAUUGCAGGAUGUUGUAUCUCACCUGUGACCUAUGCCGUUUCUUUGUGCAUUCGGACACAAAACUUAACAAUCUAGUCCACACAGAGUGGCCGUUAACGCCCUGACUUUUGGGAAAGGUGGAAAGAUAUUAGCCUCAUAUUGCCUUAUUUUUUCUUGUGGUGAAGGGUGGAGUGAUGUGAGAAUAUGUGAUGUUUUUCCGAGGUUUCUGGCAACUGUCACACCUCUAACCAUGAUCUCAACUGGAGGACCCGAGCCAAUGAUUUCCCCAUUGGUUUUUUUCUCCCCCCUCAAAUAUAUGGGCUUGUAGCAGAGCUUAAAUCAUGGCUUGGUAAUGUAUUGAAAGCCGUGACUUGAAUAGCUCUGAAAUGCUCUGGUUUUGCUAAAAGGAUAAUGAAAUAAAUGAAUAGCUACAGAUUCUUCAAAACAGAUGUCGGUGGAGGGCUUUCCUCAUUGCACAACUCCAGGCAAAAAAUGUACAUAGCUUACUAUCAGACAGAUGACCCUGAGUUUACAACCAUUCAGCUUUCAAUGGCUUGAGAAAAACGGCAUAUGUAUCAGAUUUCUGUGCAAUCUUUUAGGUUCAUUCCUAACUUUUCUCCAGGAGGAAAAUUAUUUGCUAGUUAUUCAAGAGCACAUUACAUAAGCUUUCCGAUUUUAUGCAUCUUUAUACUUGACAUUUGUAGUAAAAUGAUUUGGUAAAAUGAUUUCUUCACACAUUUUGAACACGCACAAAUAAGUUACUAUUCAUAAUCUUGAAAAUACUCAAAAUCCUGCAAAAGAAAUUAUAGAAAUAAAUUUCCAUUAGUACCAGUUACUGCGGUGACCUUUUCCUAUAGUUUUCCAAAUAACAAGUGACUUAACCUAUGUUUUCCAACAACAAAGACAAAAUAAAAAACUCCAGUUGAGCAAAGGGCUAUGCGACAGGGCCCAAAUGUCCUUCCAUAGACUCCCACCCUGCCUGCUCCUUCCUCAGACCUUGUGUAUCCAGGUGGCCCUCCUGGUGGUGGAGUGCCUUGAUCUCAACAAAAGUCACAAUGGAAGAAUUUUAAUUCUUUUGUCAUUUAAUUCUUUUGCCAUAAUUGACAUUCGUCUUUGUAUCUAAUGCUUCAUCAUGUUUUUAAUUAUUUCCUUGGGUUAAGCAAAGAAAUGCUUGUUAGUAGAGGCAGAAUUGCUGUAUUUAAGGACUUUAUAAUUUUUUUAUGAUAUUACCUUUAUUUUGACUAAUUUCCCAUCAUAAAGUUAUAAUUUAUACCUUGCUGAUGCUCAGUGAGAAAUCUCUAACUCUAACCAGCAUUGGGCUUUGUCAUUUUUGCCACAUUUAGUUGAUUUAUAUAAAAUAAAACCCAGAGAAUUAAGUUGUUGGGCAGCUUGGC